rnacentral:rRNA from 1 species
UACGUAGGGGGCAAGCGUUGUCCGGAUUUACUGGGCGUAAAGGGCGCGUAGGCGGGAUGGCAAGUCGGUCGUGAAAUCCCUCGGCUCAACCGAGGAACGUCGAUCGAUACUGCUGUUCUUGAGGAUUGCAGAGGAGACUGGAAUUCCCGGUGUAGCGGUGAAAUGUGUAGAGAUCGGGAGGAACACCGGUGGCGAAGGCGGGUCUCUGGGCAAUUCCUGACGCUGAGGAGCGAAAGCAUGGGGAGCGAACAGG